AGAGUUCGAUCCUGGCUCAGGAUGAACGCUGGCGGCGCGCCUAACACAUGCAAGUCGAACGGCACCCCUCUCCGGAGGGAAGCGAGUGGCGAACGGCUGAGUAACACGUGGAGAACCUGCCCCCUCCCCCGGGAUAGCCGCCCGAAAGGACGGGUAAUACCGGAUACCCCGGGGUGCCGCAUGGCACCCCGGCUAAAGCCCCGACGGGAGGGGAUGGCUCCGCGGCCCAUCAGGUAGACGGCGGGGUGACGGCCCACCGUGCCGACAACGGGUAGCCGGGUUGAGAGACCGACCGGCCAGAUUGGGACUGAGACACGGCCCAGACUCCUACGGGAGGCAGCAGUGGGGAAUCUUGCGCAAUGGGGGGAACCCUGACGCAGCGACGCCGCGUGCGGGACGGAGGCCUUCGGGUCGUAAACCGCUUUCAGCAGGGAAGAGUCAAGACUGUACCUGCAGAAGAAGCCCCGGCUAACUACGUGCCAGCAGCCGCGGUAAUACGUAGGGGGCGAGCGUUAUCCGGAUUCAUUGGGCGUAAAGCGCGCGUAGGCGGCCCGGCAGGCCGGGGGUCGAAGCGGGGGGCUCAACCCCCCGAAGCCCCCGGAACCUCCGCGGCUUGGGUCCGGUAGGGGAGGGUGGAACACCCGGUGUAGCGGUGGAAUGCGCAGAUAUCGGGUGGAACACCGGUGGCGAAGGCGGCCCUCUGGGCCGAGACCGACGCUGAGGCGCGAAAGCUGGGGGAGCGAACAGGAUUAGAUACCCUGGUAGUCCCAGCCGUAAACGAUGGACGCUAGGUGUGGGGGGACGAUCCCCCCGUGCCGCAGCCAACGCAUUAAGCGUCCCGCCUGGGGAGUACGGCCGCAAGGCUAAAACUCAAAGGAAUUGACGGGGGCCCGCACAAGCAGCGGAGCAUGUGGUUUAAUUCGACGCAACGCGAAGAACCUUACCAGGUCUUGACAUCCACUUAAACUUACAGAGAUGUAAGGUGUGCUUGCACAAAGUGAGACAGGUGGUGCAUGGUUGUCGUCAGCUCGUGUCGUGAGAUGUUGGGUUAA
rnacentral:rRNA from 1 species